UACACACAGUAAGCGGAGCUCUUUAAUUCCAGCAUUCGUCAAAAUUUGUGAUUCUUGACUUGGCUAACUGUAAUACGUAUAUUUUGAAAUGUAAUUUGUACCAUAUGAAUGUCACCUGGAUGUACCGAUGACAUGUAAAAAGGUAAAUGGUCAUCAGAUUGGUUGCUGUUUCCUUAGUGCGUUAGACAACUGGCUCAAAUCUGGAGCGGUUAGCAUAAAUUCAACCGUUUGAUCGAAAUGUAGCAUUGUGCGAGCCGGAACCAAUGUUGGCACAAUGCAAUUUCUUCCAAUUAUAGUGAUUGACAAAGUAGGAAAUAUAAGUACGUGCGAGAAAAUGGCGGAACAACUUUUUUCCUGACUAGCCAAAUGCCUCGUCUUCUAACUUGCAAUACGCAUUAAUGGAUAAGUGACAUUUCUACUGACCCAUUUUACUGUCUAGCAGGCUCACAAUCAAGAAAACGAGCAUGG
rnacentral:ncRNA from 1 species